ensembl:lncRNA
GUGGUGGUGUAGUAGAGGUGUUGUAGUGGUGGUGUAGUAGAGGAAUGGUGGUUGUGUAGUGGUGGUGUAGAGGUGUAGUGGUGGUGUAGUGGUGGUGUAGUGGUGGUGUAGUGGUGGUGUAGAGGUGGUGUAGUUGUGGUGUAGUGGUGUUGUAGUGGUGGUGUAGUAGAGGUGUCUUGGUUGUGAAGUGUUGGUGUAGUAGAGGGGUAGUAGAGGGGUAGGAGAGGUGUAGAAAAGGUGUAGUGGUGGUGUAGUAUAGGUGCAGAGCUGUAUUGGUGGUGUAGUAGAGGUGUAGUGGUGGUGUAGUAGAGGUGUAGUGGUGGUGUAGUAGUGGUUAGAGGUGUAGUGGUGGUGUAGUAGAGGUGUAGUGGUGGUGUAGUGGUGGUUAGAGGUGUAGUGGUGGUGUAGUAGAGGUGUAGUGGUGGUGUUGUAGAGGUGUAGUGGUGGUGUAGUAGAGGUGUAGUGGUGGUGGUGUUGUAGAGGUGUAGUGGUGAUGUAGUAGAGGUGUAGUGGUGGUGUAGUAGAAGUGUAGUGGUAGUGUAGUAGAGGUUUAGUGGUCGUGUAGUAGGAGUGUAGUGGUGGUGUAGUAGAGUUGUAGUGGUGGUGUAGUAGAGGUGUAGUGGUGGUGUAGUAGUAGUGGUGGUGUGUAGUGGUGUGUAGUGGUAGUGUAGUAGGGUUUAGUGGUCGUGUAGUAGGAGUGUAGUGGUGGUGUAGUGGUGGUGUAGUAGAAGUGUAGUGGUGAUGUAGUAGAGGUGUAGUGGUUGUGUAGUAGAGGUAUAGUGGUGGUGUAGUAGAAGUGUAGUGGUAGUGUAGUAGAGGUGUAGUGGUGGUGUAGUGGUGUAGUGGUGGUGUAGUAGAGGUGUAGUGGUGGUGUAGUAGAGGGUAGAGGUGUAGUGGUGGUGUAGUGGUGGUGUAGUGGUGGUGUAGAGGUGUAGUAGAGGUGUAGUAGAGGUGUAGUGGUGGUGUAGUAGAGGUGUAGUGGUGGUGUAGUAGAGGUGUAGUGGUGGUGUAGUAGAGGUCUAGUGGUGGUGUAGUAAAGGUGUUGUGGUAGUGUAGUAGAGGUGUAGUCAUGGUGUAGUAGAGGUCUAGUGGUGGUGUAGUAGAGGUCUAGUGGUGGUGUAGUAGAGGUGCAGUGGUGGUGUAGUAGAAGUGUCGUGGUGGUGUUGUAAAGGUAUUGUGGUAGUGUAGUAGAGGUGUAGUGGUGGUGCAGUAGAAGUGUAGUGGUGGUGUAGUAGAGGCAUAGUGGUUGUGUAGUGGAGGUGUAAAGGUGUAGAGGAGGUGUAGUGGUGGUGUGGUGGUGGUGUGGUGGUGGUGUAGUAGAGCUGUAGUGGUGGUGUAGUGAUGGUGUAAAGGUGUAGAGGAGGUGUCGUGGUGGUGUGGUGGUGUAGUAGAGGUGUAUUGGGGGUGUAGUAGAGGUGUAGUGGUGGUGUAAUAGAAGUGUAGUGGUGGUGUAGUAGAGGUGUAGUGGUGGUGUAGUAGAGGUGUGGUGGUGGUGGUGUAGUAGAAGUGUAGUGCUGGCGUUGUAGAGGUGUAGUUGAGGUGUAGUGGUGGUGUAAUAGAAGUGUAGUGGUGGUGUAGUAGAGGUGUAGUGGUGGUGUAGUAGAGGUGUGGUGGUGGUGGUGUAGUAGAAGUGUAGUGCUGGCGUUGUAGAAGUGUAGUUGAGGUGUAGUGGUGGU